rnacentral:sRNA from 2 species
AUUGACGGCACUCCGCACAAGCGGUGGAUCAUGUUGUUUAAUUCGAAGAUACACGAAAACACCUUACCAGGUCUUGACAUACUCUGCAAAGCUAUAGCAAUAUAGUGGAGGUUAUCAGGGAUACAGGUGGUGCAUGGUUGUCGUCAGCUCGUGUCGUGAGAUGUUAGGUUAAGUCCUAAAACGAGCGCAACCCUUGUCAUUAGUUGCCAGCAUGUCAUGAUGGGCACUUUAAUGAGACUGCCAAUGAAAAUUGGAGGAAGGUGAGGAUCACGUCAAAUCAUCAUGCCCCUUAUGAUCUGGGCUACAAACGUGAUACAAUGGCUGUUACAAAGAGUAGCDGAAACGCAAGUUWAUAAGCCAAUCUCCAUAAAAGCAGUCUCAGUUCGGAUUGAAGUCUGCAACUCGACUUCAUGAAGUUGGAAUCGCUAGUAAUCGCGAAUCAGCAUGUCGCG